ACGAACGCUGGCGGCGUGCCUAAUACAUGCAAGUCGAGCGGACGAUUCGAAAGCUUGCUUUUGAAUCGUUAGCGGCGGACGGGUGAGUAACACGUGGGCAACCUGCCCUGUAGACGGGGAUAACACCGAGAAAUCGGUGCUAAUACCGGAUAACACGAAAUGUCGCAUGACGUUUCGUUGAAAGGCGGCGCAAGCUGCCGCUACAGGAUGGGCCCGCGGCGCAUUAGCUAGUUGGUGAGGUAACGGCUCACCAAGGCGACGAUGCGUAGCCGACCUGAGAGGGUGAUCGGCCACACUGGGACUGAGACACGGCCCAGACUCCUACGGGAGGCAGCAGUAGGGAAUCUUCCGCAAUGGACGAAAGUCUGACGGAGCAACGCCGCGUGAGCGAAGAAGGCCUUCGGGUCGUAAAGCUCUGUUGUUAGGGAAGAACAAGUAACGUAGUAACUGACGUUACUAUGACGGUACCUAACGAGAAAGCCACGGCUAACUACGUG
rnacentral:rRNA from 1 species